rnacentral:rRNA from 1 species
UACGAAGGGUGCUAGCGUUGUUCGGAAUCACUGGGCGUAAAGCGCGCGUAGGCGGCGUUUCAAGUCAGGGGUGAAAUCCUUGGGCUCAACCCAAGAAUUGCCUUUGAAACUGUAACGCUGGAGUGUCGGAGGGGAUAGCGGAAUUGCUAAUGUAGAGGUGAAAUUCGUAGAUAUUAGCAGGAACACCGGUGGCGAAGGCGGCUAUCUGGACGACAACUGACGCUGAGGCGCGAAAGCGUGGGGAGCGAACAGG